rnacentral:misc_RNA from 1 species
AAGUCGUAACAAGGUUUCCGUAGGUGAACCUGCGGAAGGAUCAUUACCGAGCAAGGGUCUUUGGGGCCCGACCUCCAACCCUUUGUUUAUUCUACCCUGUUGCUUUGGCGGGCCCGUCCUCAGGGGCCGCCGGGGGUCUCACCACCUCUGGUCAGUGUCUGCCAGUAGCCUUUUUAAAUUCUCUAUAACUGUGACGUCUGAGUACAAAAAUAAAUCGUUAAAAACUUUCAACAACGGAUCUCUUGGUUCUG